AGGGUCACUGGCUUCUGUUGUGAUACGUAGUAUGUGGGGUUACGCAAUACGUACAGGGUGUACCGGAAGUGUCUGUGUAGUUGAACUAUGUUGAGCACCUAGUAAAGAAGUUCUAACCAACCUAUAAUGAAGUCCAGUAAUACUUCAGCUUCAGAUCAAACAGUCUUCACAACAGAUCCGUUAUAUCCUCUGCAAAAGGUGGACCUGAACUGUAUACAGCCAGACUUUGCAAAGGGACAAAUAAAAUGGACAGUGGAUCACAAAGAUCCUGCACUAGACAACACAAGAUAUUUACUUUCAAAUGACAAAAGAACUCUCACUGUAAAAAACGCUAGUGACAGUGGUCAAUAUUCAUGCAUCAUACAAAGGAAUACAAUACCAUACAUUCAGUGGCAAAACAUUGUUAUUAAACAAUGCCCCAGUAUUAUUGUGGGUGAUAAAUAUUGUGUUUUUCCAUGUGAUGGCAG
rnacentral:lncRNA from 1 species